CUCUCCCCUCCCACCAGGUUGUUAAAUUGUUAAAUGUUUGCUGCAUUGAUCUCAACAGCUGAGCAUGAAACAGUGAGCUGUAGUUGAGACCUCCUGCGAGCUCGAUAAACUUAAUGGACAUCCUUGAGAACUUUAACUGGGAAGAUUUAGCUCCCGAGGAAGAAGGAAGCAAACACCCGGAGCAGCUUUGUCUGCCUGUUGUACCUCAUUUUGCCAGAAACAGCUGCUCAUGCUGGGAUUAGCUCAGAGGCUAGGACUUCCUCCCCCCUUCAGCCCUGUUACAUAAUAAACAAUGACCCGAAAUGAUCAGUAAGCCCAUUCCUCCAUGGCUAGUUAGAGUCAUGGAUCAAUACCCAAACUACAAAUCACCAAGGACCAUAAGAAAUCCCCACUAAGGUCCAGACCUAGACUUGCUGCAGCAGGGUGUAGAUCCACUCAACCUGUCCAAAGAUGGUAUUUAUAAGCCAUCCAAAAAUACCUGCUGCCUUUCACUGAGGUGUGACCACAACAGAUUGGAGACAGCUUGAAAUGCAGACACCUCCAAGGUGCCUUGUUCACAGCAGUGACGUGUGAGACAGCCAAGUGAUGGACCUGGAGCUCAGCUGAAAUGGCAGGAGUGGGUUCAGCAGCGCACGAUGACAUUGCACGUUGGUGUGCUGUAAUUAAUGCUGAUAAAGUGCAGUAUAUCCUUCAAAAUUGGCUGAUGACCUGUGUUUAACCACUCAGCCUCACCAGUUGUGGUUUACAGGAAUGGUACGUACAUACUGGCACUGUCUCUUUCUUCUCCAGUGGGGAAAGGGAUGAAAGUUCGUGUCUCCCCUUUGUUAGGUCACAAAGUGUU